UCAGAAUUCAGUUCAUGUUCUCAUUUUUACAAAACCAUUACCCGCUUGAAACCCGACGGGUAUCAAUUCGCUCGGGUCUGCUAUCUUAUUAAUUAAAAAGGGCUGAAACUUGAAAGUAUUGCGUCACAUUUUCUCUCAUCAGUUCACUCAUCCCAAUUCAAACUCCCAAAGUUCCUGCUCCAAUGAAGAUUUAAACUUUUUGAAGCAUCGAUCCCUUAUCUCCGACUAUGCGUGCACACCUCACUCAGGUGUUGGUUUGCUCAGCAAUCAAAUGGCAGCCAUUAGAGGUCUAUUGAGGUCAAAACUACGAUUAUCAGAAUACCCAUUUUGAAACUCUACAUCUCUUCUUAUUCUUCUGGCACUACAUCACCAUUAGCAUUCAAUCACACAACCAAAACUGUUUACGAUAUCUGUCAUUACCAAUACCAGUUUCAUACAUGUUUGAGGCCUCGCUAUUACCUAGAGGUUCCCUUUGGAGAGGAAAGAAAAUGAUUGGUAAAGAAGCUGUUUUUGUUAUUUUGGGGUUAAAGAGAGUCGAAGAUGAUGAAGAAAAACUGGAAAUUAAGAAAGAUCAAGAUGUUGUACCAUUAUGUUCUUUCAAGCCAACCAAACAUGACAAUGGAAUGUAAUAAUCCAUUCCAUUACCUUGCUGAUUCCUACGGUGUUCAUCCUAUUCCUUUGUGAUUCCAUUUCAUGAUACCAUAACCAAACACAGACCUUUAGUUGUCUUGUUUGUUUUCCAAGUACUUAUUUAUUGAAUUUCCAGA